rnacentral:tRNA from 1 species
AUAGUUCACUGGUAGAAUUCUUACCUUAUAUGCAGGAGACCCGGGUUCGAAUCCCGGU